AAGAAAAAUGAUGAUUUUCUUAUGAGAACAUUUGAUAAUUUUGAUUUUGUUUUUAAUAGUGAUGUAGACUUUAAUUUUAAGAAUAGGGGUAAAGGUAACAGAAUUGUAAAGGUAGGUCAGAAAAACGAGCAAACUGCAAUAAUAAACCAAGACAUAACUCCUCAUACUUGUAAUGUUAGGGAAAGUCAGGGCAAUAAUAGAGCAAAAAGUAUUGGACAGGAGCGUCAUCAUCGGUUGACCGCUGAGGGCACAUCGGGGGAUUUUCCCAGCUCUAGUCAAAUUAAGGC
rnacentral:lncRNA from 1 species